CAGCAGCCACGGUAAUACGUAGGUGGCAGGCGUUAUCCGGAAUUACUGGGUGUAAAGGGAGCGUAGACGGUUAAACAAGUCUGAAGUGAAAUGCCGGGGCUCAACCCCGGAGCUGCUUUGGGAACUGUAGAACUGGAGUGUCGGAGGGGUAAGCGGAAUUCCCAGUGUAGCGGUGAAAUGCGUAGAUAUUGGGAGGAACACCGGCGGCGAAGGCGGCUUACUGGACGACAACUGACGUUGAGGCUCGAAGGCGUGGGUAGCAAACAGGAUUAGAUACCCGCGUAGUCCCUGUCUCUUAUAC
rnacentral:rRNA from 1 species